GGACGGGUGAGUAACGCGUGAGGAACCUGCCUUGAAGAGGGGGACAACAGUUGGAAACGACUGCUAAUACCGCAUGACGCAUAGAGGUCGCAUGAUCUUUAUGCCAAAGAUUUAUCGCUUCAAGAUGGCCUCGCGUCUGAUUAGCUAGUUGGCGGGGUAACGGCCCACCAAGGCGACGAUCAGUAGCCGGACUGAGAGGUUGAACGGCCACAUUGGGACUGAGAUACGGCCCAGACUCCUACGGGAGGCAGCAGUGGGGAAUAUUGGGCAAUGGGCGCAAGCCUGACCCAGCAACGCCGCGUGAAGGAAGAAGGCUUUCGGG
rnacentral:rRNA from 1 species